GCCAGUGGCAAUUCCGACAGGGAAACACCCGAUCCCAUUCCGAACUCGGCAGUUAAGCCUGUCAGGGCUGAUGGUACUGACACCCAAUCCGGUGUUGGAAGAGUAGGUCGCUGCUGGUC
rnacentral:rRNA from 1 species